UACGGAGGGGGCUAGCGUUGUUCGGAAUUACUGGGCGUAAAGCGCACGUAGGCGGAACAGAAAGUCAGAGGUGAAAUCCCAGGGCUCAACCUUGGAACUGCCUUUGAAACUCCUGUUCUUGAGGUCGAGAGAGGUGAGUGGAAUUCCGAGUGUAGAGGUGAAAUUCGUAGAUAUUCGGAGGAACACCAGUGGCGAAGGCGGCUCACUGGCUCGAUACUGACGCUGAGGUGCGAAAGCGUGGGGAGCAAAC
rnacentral:rRNA from 2 species